ncrna:Crocosphaera watsonii WH 8501 HNH endonuclease-associated RNA and ORF (HEARO) RNA
GUCACAAACCCGCCGUUAAUUGCUCAGGCAAUAUAACGGGGGCUUGAUUUAAAGCCCAUGAUGUGACCAGUUCACCUGAUUUUCAGGUAAACGUUAUCUAAUUCAUGACACCUCUUGGUACGUGCCAGCCUAGAGCAACUGUCGUCUAAUUUUAAACAUUGCUAAACGGGUUAACGAAGUGAAUUAGGCCAAACAAGAUUAGAUAACUGAACGAGGCAAACAUUAC